AGAGUUUGAUCCUGGCUCAGGAUGAACGUUGGCGGCGUGCCUAACACAUGCAAGUCGAACGGGAAAUUUGUUUUCGAACAGAUGGAGAGUGGCGCACGGGUGAGUAACACGUAGCUCAUUUGCCCUAGAGAGGGGGAUAACGCACGGAAACGUGUGCUAAUACCCCAUAAGCUCACGAGAAGUAGGACAUUGUGAGAAAAGCUGAGGUGCUCUAGGAUGAGGCUGCGGCCCAUCAGCUAGUUGGUAGGGUAAGAGCCUACCAAGGCGACGACGGGUAGGGGGCCUGAGAGGGUGACCCCCCACACUGGGACUGAGACACGGCCCAGACUCCUACGGGAGGCAGCAGUGAGGAAUAUUGCGCAAUGGACGGAAGUCUGACGCAGCGACGCCGCGUGGGCGAAGAAGGUUUUCGGAUCGUAAAGCCCUUUUCUUGGUGACGAGCAAGGACGGUAGCCAAGGAAUAAGUGUCGGCUAACUACGUGCCAGCAGCCGCGGUAAAACGUAGGACGCAAACGUUAUCCGGAAUUACUGGGCGUAAAGCGCGUGCAGGCGGUUGUUCAAGUCAUGCGUGAAAGCUCCCGGCUAAACUGGGAGAGGUCGGAUGAGACUGAACAACUAGAGGGUGCUAGAGGCAUGUGGAAUUCCGCGUGUAGUGGUGAAAUGCGUAGAUAUGCGGAGGAACACCGGUGGCGAAGGCGGCAUGCUGGGGCACACCUGACGCUGAGGCGCGAAAGCAUGGGUAGCGAACGGGAUUAGAAACCCCGGUAGUCCAUGCCGUAAACGAUGUACACUAAACGUUCGUUUGGCUACGGUCAAGGGAGUGUUGAAGCUAACGCGAUAAGUGUACCGCCUGGGGAGUACGGUCGCAAGGCUAAAACUCAAAGGAAUUGACGGGGGCCCGCACAAGCAGCGGAGCGUGUGGUUUAAUUCGAGCCUACGCGAAGAACCUUACCUGGGUUUGACAUCCCACGAACGAACCUGAAAAGGGGAGGUCCCGAAAGGGCGUGGAGACAGGUGCUGCAUGGCUGUCGUCAGCUCGUGUCGUGAGAUGUUCGGUUAAGUCCGAAAACGAGCGCAACCCCUAUUGCUAGUUAUACGUGUCUAGCGAGACUGCCUGCGGCAAGCAGGAGGAAGGUGGGGAUGACGUCAAGUCAGCAUGGCCUUUAUAUCCAGGGCUACACACACGCUACAAUGGCGCGUACAGUAGGUAGCGAAGCCGCGAGGUGGAGCCAAUCCAGCAAAGCGCGUCGUAGUUCGGAUUGUAGGCUGCAACUCGCCUGCAUGAAGUCGGAGUUGCUAGUAACCGCAGGUCAGCACACUGCGGUGAAUACGUUCCCGGGCCUUGUACACACCGCCCGUCACGUCAUGGAAGCUGGUCACGCCUGAAGUCGGGAAGCUAACCUAAGGGAGGCUACCGCCGAAGGCAGGGCUGGUGACUGGGACGAAGUCGUAACAAGGUA
rnacentral:rRNA from 1 species